UCUAAUAUGUAUACGAGUAUAUAAGGUAAUUGACGAACGGUCGGAGUAAUCUAAUUCUUUCGUUACAUUCGAGCCCUUAAGGGUGACAGUAAAAUUCAAAUUUGUUUGAUACAAUGGAAAAUAUUUAACAUUUAUUUUGGUGAAAUAUUUAACAAGUAAAUUUUUUUAAUUGUUUAAUUUCACGUUGUUUAUAGAGGUGGUCAGCAAUAAAAAAGAACAUAGAAAAUACGCAAAAUAUUGACUGUCAACUGAUACUUUAUAAUAACAAAUACAACAAGGACUUAUUAUUAGUUAUUUUAAAUACGACAAUAACUGGAUAAAUUAAUGAUUAUAUCGCUGAAACAUCCACCAAAAUGAGCGUAAAUCAUCUCUUCAUGAUGGUGUUUAUAGUUGUUCUGUCACAUCUUUGUCUGGCAGUAAACAACAAACUUCAACAUAAACAAGAAAAACAAGGCUGUGAAUGGGGGUGUAGCUCGGACAUUGAUGAGAAGCUUAGAUCAUGUGAAGAUUUAUGUGAACUAAGGAACAGUCGGAAUAAAAAUGGCGAAGUCGUUUGUCAGAGCAAUUGUGCUUCUAUUUAUGUCAGUUGUUUUGAAGAGUGCCAAAGAGGUUCUCAAUUGUAUAAGAAUCCUGCAUGAAACUAGAGUUAACAUCAGUUAAUGUUGUAAAUAUGUAAAAUUCGGACGGGAAUCUCAAGUCAAAUGUGCCUUGUAAAAUAUACUGCGGUAGCAAACAUAAUGUUACAAACAAUAAAAUUGAUAUUGGCCAUGUCAUGUCAUACUAUCCAGGAAAUGGACAUGGACCUCAGAUUCAAAAGUUGAAGAAGGACUCUGAACAAGUAGUUUCAUAUGUAUUUUUAUAUGAUGAUCUGAACAAUUUGAAAUCUGUUUUAUUUAGAUAUAAUACAAUUUCCAUAACUGUGAAAUAAAUUUCAAUGUGUUCGUUAAAGAAAAUCACAGAUAAGUAAGACAUGGAAUACAGUUACCAUUGCUUUGCUAACAUUAUUUGCUCAGUGUCUGGUAGCAAAGUCAUAUCAUUGAUUAUGUUCUAUCAUUGUCUUAUAUGUUUAGUUUAAUUAAAAAAAUGUGCAUUAUUGU